rnacentral:rRNA from 1 species
AGGUUAAGUUAACAAGGGCGCAUGGUGAAUGCCUUGGCACUAGGAGCCGAUGAAGGACGGGACUAACACCGAUAUGCUUCGGGGAGCUGUACGUAAGCUAUGAUCCGGAGAUUUCCGAAUGGGGCAACCCAGCAGUUUUAAUCAACUGUUACCACUAGAUGAAUUCAUAGUCUAGUUGGAGGUAAACGCUGUGAACUGAAACAUCUCAUUAGCAGCAGGAAUAUAAAGAAAUUUCGAUUCCCUAAGUAGCGGCGAGCGAACGGGGAACAGCCCAAACCAAAGUGCUUGCACUUUGGGGUUGUAGGACUGAACAUUUGAGUUACCAAAGAACUUGAUAGUCGAAGGAUUUGGGAAAAUCCGCCAUAGAUGGUGAUAGCCCAGUAGAUUAAAUCAAAUUCUCUCAGUUCAGGAUCCUGAGUACGGCGGAACACGUGAAAUUCCGUCGGAAUCCGGGAGGACCAUCUCCCAAGGCUAAAUACUACCUAGUGACCGAUAGUGAACCAGUACCGUGAGGGAAAGGUGAAAAGCACCCCGGGAGGGGAGUGAAAUAGUUCCUGAAACCAUGUGCCUACAAUAAGUCAGAGCGCGUUAAUGCGUGAUGGCGUGCCUUUUGUAGAAUGAACCGGCGAGUUAUGAUCCGUGCAAGGUUAAGACUAAAAAGUCGGAGCCGUAGCGAAAGCGAGUCUGAAAUGGGCGUUUUGAGUACGAGGUUAUAGACCCGAAACCAGGUGACCUAUCCAUGUCCAGGUUGAAGGUGCGGUAAAACGCACUGGAGGACCGAACCCGUGUAAGUUGAAAAUUGCUGGGAUGAGGUGUGGAUAGCGGUGAAAUUCCAAACGAACUUGGAGAUAGCUGGUUCUCUCCGAAAUAGCUUUAGGGCUAGCCUCGGAAUUAGGAUCAUGGAGGUAGAGCACUAUUUGGACUAGGGGCCCGUCUUGGGUUACUGAAUUCAGAUAAACUCCGAAUGCCAUUGAUUCAUAUCCGGGAGUCAGACGAUGAGUGAUAAGAUCCACCGUCGAAAGGGGAACAGCCCAGACCAUCAGUUAAGGUCCCUAAAUGUAUGCUAAGUGGAAAAGGAUGUGGAGUUGCAUAGACAACUAGGAUGUUGGCUCAGAAGCAGCCACCAUUUAAAGAGUGCGUAAUAGCUCACUAGUCGAGUGAUCCUGCGCCGAAAAUGUACCGGGGCUAAGCAUACUACCGAAACCAUGGAUGCGACCAUUAGGUCGCGUGAUAGGAGAGCGUUCUAGGGCGGUGAAGCAAGAUCGUGAGGACUUGUGGAGCGCUUAGAAGUGAGAAUGCCGGUAUGAGUAGCGAAAGAUAGGUGAGAAUCCUAUCCACCGAAUGACUAAGGUUUCCUGGGGAAGGCUCGUCCUCCCAGGGUUAGUCGGGACCUAAGUCGAGGCCGAGAGGCGUAGACGAUGGAUAACAGGUUGAGAUUCCUGUACUAGUUAAGUGCGUUUGAGCAAUGGAGGGACGCAGGAGGCUAAGAUGUGCAUUCUGUUGGAUUAGAAUGUCCAAGCAGUAAGUCUUGUGAAGAGUCAAAUGCUUUUCACUUUAAGGACAAGCUGUGAUGGGGAGCGAAAUUUAGUAGCGAAGCGUCUGAUGUCACACUGCCGAGAAAAGCUUCUAGUGAGUACUUAACUACCCGUACCGCAAACCGACACAGGUAGUCGAGGAGAGAAUCCUAAGGUGAGCGAGUGAACUCUCGUUAAGGAACUCGGCAAAAUGACCCCGUAACUUCGGGAGAAGGGGUGCUGAUCGCAAGAUCAGCCGCAGUGAAUAGGCCCAGGCGACUGUUUAUCAAAAACACAGGUCUCUGCAAAAUCGUAAGAUGACGUAUAGGGGCUGACGCCUGCCCGGUGCUGGAAGGUUAAAAGGAUGGGUUAGCUUCGGCGAAGCUCAGAAUUGAAGCCCCAGUAAACGGCGGCCGUAACUAUAACGGUCCUAAGGUAGCGAAAUUCCUUGUCGGGUAAGUUCCGACCCGCACGAAAGGCGUAACGAUCUGGGCACUGUCUCAACGAGAGACUCGGUGAAAUUAUAUUGUCCGUGAAGAUGCGGACUACCCGCGACAGGACGGAAAGACCCCAUGGAGCUUUACUGUAGCUUGAUAUUGAGUGUUUGUACAGCUUGUACAGGAUAGGUAGGAGCCAUAGAAACCGGAACGCUAGUUUCGGUGGAGGCGUUGGUGGGAUACUACCCUCGCUGUAUGACCACUCUAACCCGCACCACUAAUCGUGGUGGGAGACAGUGUCAGGUGGGCAGUUUGACUGGGGCGGUCGCCUCCUAAAAAGUAACGGAGGCGCCCAAAGGUUCCCUCAGAAUGGUUGGAAAUCAUUCGCAGAGUGUAAAGGCACAAGGGAGCUUGACUGCGAGACAGACAGGUCGAGCAGGGACGAAAGUCGGGCUUAGUGAUCCGGUGGUACCGUAUGGAAGGGCCAUCGCUCAACGGAUAAAAGCUACCCUGGGGAUAACAGGCUUAUCUCCCCCAAGAGUCCACAUCGACGGGGAGGUUUGGCACCUCGAUGUCGGCUCAUCGCAUCCUGGGGCUGUAGUCGGUCCCAAGGGUUGGGCUGUUCGCCCAUUAAAGCGGUACGCGAGCUGGGUUCAGAACGUCGUGAGACAGUUCGGUCCCUAUCCGUCGCGGGCGUAGGAAAUUUGAGAGGACCUGUCCUUAGUACGAGAGGACCGGGAUGGACAUACCUCUGGUGUACCAGUUGUGUCGCCAGGCGCAUCGCUGGGUAGCUACGUAUGGAUGUGAUAAACGCUGAAAGCAUCUAAGUGUGAAACACACCUCGAGAUGAGAUUUCCCAUUCCUUUAUGGAAGUAAGACCCCUGAAAGAUGAUCAGGUAGAUAGGUUAGAAGUGGCAGUGCGGUGACGCAUGAAGCGGACUAAUACUAAUCGGUCGAGGACUUAACCAAG